UUCACUCUUGCUCUUGUUCGCAUUCCUAUUCAUUUACUUCUCCAUCGGCUCUCGCGGACUCUCCUUUCGUUGAUGUUGCCCAAUCCCUCGCAUAGCUCGCCUCCCUGUUCUCAUGGCCCUCGAUUACACCCGUUGUUGCUCCGGAUUGCGAGCUCAAGCGUAGGGUUUAGGUUUUCAAUCUGUCCGCUUCCUCCAUGUUUUUUUUGUCCACGUCUUUGCCUUCUUCGGCGCCUGUAGCGGCGCCAGCGAUCAAGAUUUGCUUCAACACUCAGUGCAAGGAGUUUACAGAGGAUCAUAUAACGCCUUGUAGGAGGGGCUAGCGCCUCCGCUCAGGAGCGAUCGCCGAGCUCUGCACCACUGCUCAUCUGCGUUUGAGCAAGGAAUCUUCUGCGAGAUGUUUCAUUCCAAUGAUUCUGGUUGGAGGAACUGUGAGACAGCAAGAGAGUACAUUGUUGGUGUAUCACAUCAGCUCAGUCUUAUGGUUUUCUUGAUGCGGGGGAAUUAAGUGCAUUCCAUGCCCUAGGAAAUCUCUUGCAACGGCACCAAAUCAAAUAUCAUCUUCUCUGAUGUUUAUGCAACAACAUGUGCCUGAAAGGAGAGAUUCACUUGCUAAAUCCUGGAGAUCAAUGGCUAAUCCAUUGUCUGGACAGUGGCGUCAAGUUUCGCAUAUGUGGAAUAUGACAAUGCAGUCUGAUUUGCAACAAAGAUUAUCACAUGAAUUUGAUAGACCUAGUAGAUUGAGAAAUUGGUACCUGGAGGUCUCCAUUCUAUUGCAACACACGAAAAGAAAUUUCAGCCAGAGAGAAAAUUUUCUACCGACCUUGACAAAUUUCUUACUGGAGAAAAUCAUCCUAUGUCUACAAGGAAAUCAUAAAGGAUCCGAUGAAGCUUUCGCUACUCCAUUAUCAAAGCAGUUUUACCCACAGUGUGUGAAUGAAACUGAACUGCAAUCUCAAAUGCGCAAUGGAGAACUCGAGUUGAUGUUUAUCCACGGACACAAUUGCUUCCUCGAUAGUGGCCUAGGAUAACAAAUCAAGAGCUACAACAAAUAUCUGGCGAGUCUCCUAUUUUAUGUGUUUUGUCUACAAUCCUCCAUCACUCCCUUGUUUGAAAAGAUGUUAAGUGCUAGUGAUGCUGGGCAGAUUGGACGACUUGUGCUUCCAAAGAAAUGUGCAGAGCCUGAAGAACUUCCUGUAAAAGUUCAGAAUGCAAGUGGAAAAGAUUGAAUAUUCCAAUUUCAAUUUUGGCCUAACAACAGUAGGAUGUAUGUUUUGGAGGGCGUUAUACCUUGUAUUCAGGCAAUGCAACUGCAAGCAGACACAGGAACUAAAGAAGCAAGUGUAUUUACUACUGACAUUGCUUUUGAUGAUCUCUUGCACAAAGAAAUUUUCCCCUCAUGUUGCUCACCUGCUUCUGCAUUCUUCGUUUCGGACGAUACAUGGUGUUUUGGAUUUCAGAUCCUUUUCCUGAAUUACUUAUUUACGUCUCCAGUAGUAUAUACUUUGAGUUUCUUGGUUCUUUCCAUAUGUCUGGAAACACCCGCUGGGCCAGAACUUUUAGAUGUGUUUCGCCUGACAAUGAGAUAAUUGGAAUUGAUUUAGGAACCACAAAUUCUUGUAUUUCUAUUAUGGAAGGAAAGGUUAGUCCCUUUGUUACUAUUAUUUUCAGUUCAUCUGAAAAUUAAAUUAUUUAACAUGCUGUGCAGAAUGUUAAAAUUAUAGAAAAUUAAGAAGGAGCACGUACUACUCCUUCAUUUAUAGCUUUCACCCACAAUGGUGAAGUGCUUGUUGGAGCUCUAGCAUAGCAUAUGUCACUCACGAAUCUUACGAACCUAAUUUUUGCAACCAAGCAACUGAUAAUCUGUUACAUCGAUGAUCCUCAAAUGCAGAAAGAAAUGAAUAUUGUUCCUUUUAAAACUGUCAAAGCACCUAACGGGGAUGCAUGGGUUGAAGCCCAUGGUCAACAAUUUUUUCCUAAAUUGGUGCAUUUAUUAAGAUGAAGGAAAUUGCUGAGUCCUACCUUGGAAAAUCUAUUUCGAAGGUAGUGAUUGCAAUUUCUGUAUAUUUCUACAAAGGAUGCCGGGAGGAUUGUUGAUCUUGAUGUGCAAACAAUUAUCAAUGAACCAACAACAACAACACUUGCGUUUGUAGCUAGGAGGAUUGCUUGUUUUGACGCGCAAAUAAUUAUUAAUGAACACAAUAAUCAAACAUUCUUUGUUGUUCAAACCGAACAAUAAAGAAUGUUUGGUUAUUGUGUUCAUUGAUAAUUGUUUGCACGUCAAGACAAGCAAUCCUAGCUACAAACGCAAGUGUUGCGGUUGUUGGUUCAUUGAUAAUUGUUUGCACAUCAAGAUCAACAAUCCUCCCGACAUCCUUUGUAGAAAUAUCCAGAAAUUGCAAUCACUACCUUCGAAAUAGAUUUUCUAAGGUAGGACUCAAUAAUUUUCUUUAUCUUAAUAAAUGCACAAAUCUGGGAGAAAACUAUUGACCAUGGACUUUAACCCAUGCAUCCCUGUUAGAUGCUUUGACAGUUUUAAAAGGAACAAUAUUCAUUUCUUUUUGCAUUUGAGAAUCAUCGAUGUGACGGAUUAUCAGUUGCUUGGUUGCAAAAAUUGUGUUCGUAAGAUUCGUGAGUGCCAUAUGCUGUACUAGGGUUCCAGCAAGUACUUCACCAUUGUGGCUGAAAGCUAUAAAUGAAGGGGCAGUACGUGCUCCUUCUUAAUUUUCUAUAAUUUUAACAUUCUGCAUAGCAUGUUAAAUAAUUUAAUUUUCGGAUGAACUGAAAAUAGUGGUAACAAAGGGACUAACCUUUCCUUCCAUAAUAGAAAUACAAGAAUUUGUGGUUCCUAAGUCAAUUCCAAUUACCUCAUUGCCGGGCGAAACACAUCUGAAAGUUCUGUCUCAGCGGGUAUUUUUAAAUAUCUGGAAAGAAUCAAGAAACUCAAAGUAUGUACUACUUGAGACGUAAAUAAAAAAAAUACAGGAGAAGGAUCUGAAAUCCAAAACAUCACGGCUCAUAGCUCGAAGUAUAACUAAAGCUGACUGAUCAAAGAAAGAAAGAAGAGCUCCGCCUCAAACAGAAGCCGAAUGAUAAAAGAAAGAAAAAAAAAACACCAUAACAGAAUCCCCUAAACCCUCAUGGCUGGAAGGAUCACAGAAGCCGAACGAUAUAAUCUUGGGGUUCCUAAAAUGCCUAGUCCAGGCUCAGGUGUAUCUUCCAGAGGUAGAUCUUGCUGUGGUUAAUGCCACAACAACAAUCAACUGGACAUGCUUUCUCUGGAUGGUCCUAAUGAAAUUGGAGAAGUGUCAUCUCCGGUCGCUGACAACUCAUGGGCAAAUUUUUAGUGUAUAUAUAUUUUCAUAUCCGUGGGACCGAUAUUAUGGGGCUGUUAAUGUAGUGUAUUUAUAGUUUUUUUAGUGUUUAUUUUUUGGUAUCUACAAAUAUUGAAAGGAAAUGAGUAUUUUUUUCCACUCCAUUUUCUAAAACAUUUUCCAUCUUUAGGGGACUCAUUAGGUAAUAAUUCAUAUCAUCAAUUAUUGAUGGUGAUUCUUUUGUUUUUAUAGUUUAGUCUUUGUGAGGGUCUUCUGCAAACUUUCAUAUAUUGUUAAUUGAUUAUUGACAUGUUGAUC